rnacentral:lncRNA from 1 species
GUAUGACACAGAAUGCUGGAGAUACAAUGGUGAACAAGACAGAAGAGGUGCCUACCUUCAGGGAAUUCCAGUGAGGAAGACGGCAGUGAUGAAGAUCUUUUCAACUGUUUUAUAGGAAGGGAGGAAGAAUAGCAUACGGGACAUGGAUGAAUCUGGAGAACAUCAUCCUCAGCAAACUGACACAAGAACAGAAAAUGAAACACCGCAUAUUCUCACUCAUAGAGCUUCAUAAUUCUAGGACCUCAGCAAUGAAUUACAGGUGUGCCAGAGGUGUGGCUGAUCUGCCGGAUUUGGCAGGAUCCAGGUGCCAGAGCUCCUGGGAUGUCUGCCUCCUCUCUGUGCUGCUUGAGCAAAUCCAGC